rnacentral:rRNA from 1 species
UACGUAGGGGGCUAGCGUUGUCCGGAAUUAUUGGGCGUAAAGAGCUCGUAGGCGGUGUGUCGCGUCGGCCGUGAAAACCUGCAGCUUAACUGUGGGCGUGCGGUCGAUACGGGCAUCACUGGAGUUCGGCAGGGGAGACUGGAAUUCCUGGUGUAGCGGUGAAAUGCGCAGAUAUCAGGAGGAACACCGGUGGCGAAGGCGGGGUCUCUGGGCCGAUACUGACGCUGAGGAGCGAAAGCGUGGGGAGCGAACAGG